UACGUAGGGGGCAAGCGUUGUCCGGAUUUAUUGGGCGUAAAGAGCGUGUAGGCGGCCAGACAGGUCCGUUGUGAAAACUCGAGGCUCAACCUCGAGAUGUCGAUGGAAACCGUCUGGCUAGAGUCCGGAAGAGGAGUGUGGAAUUCCUGGUGUAGCGGUGAAAUGCGCAGAUAUCAGGAAGAACACCUAUGGCGAAGGCAGCACUCUGGGACGGUACUGACGCUGAGACGCGAAAGCGUGGGGAGCGAGCAGG
rnacentral:rRNA from 1 species